CUGACCUAUCAACUCGAGGACGGCGGGGUAGAGGCCCCGACCGCGGUAACGACGGGUAACGGGGAAUCAGGGUUCGAUUCCGGAGAGGGAGCCCGAGAAAACGGCUACCACUUCCAAGGAAGGCAGCAGGCGCGCAACUUACCCUAAUCUCGAUUCGAGGAGGUAGUGACAGAAAUACCGAUGCGGGACCCUACGGGGUGCCGCGUUCGGAAUGAGUACGAUUCGAACCACCUAACGAGGAACGAUCGGAGGGCAAGUCUGGUGCCAGCAGCCGCGGUAAUUCCAGCUCCAAUAGCGUACGUUAAAGUUGCUGCAGUUAAAAAGCUCGUAGUUGAACGUUCGGGUUCCGCGGGACGGGGCCGCCCCGUGAGGGACGGUCGCCGCCCCGGGGGCUCGUGAUAUCUUAUCUCGCCGCCCGUCGCGAGGCGGAC
rnacentral:rRNA from 1 species